UUCCACUGCUGGUGCCUGGUGAACCAUUUCCAAAGCUCAAAAAGGCAAGACACUUCGAACAGGAGGGAGUCACAUCCAACCAAAUUGAAUUCCUCUCUCCAAUUUCCAUGUCAAAUCGCUAAACUGUCAUAAUCCUAAUUCGGGUUUAAAUCUGAUCAUAUAGGAUGCAAAUUUGAGGAUUCACUUGAUUAGUUUGCUUAAUUUUUCCGGGAAAUGAGUUGCCGUUAAAGUUUUCUGAUGACACCUCCAUCAGCAACAAUGAAGUUAUGGUGUAUACAUUAUGGGAUUCUGUAUGUGAGGAUGCUACUCGUUGUUUUACCAAUUGACAUCUGGUUCUACAGAUGAUUGGGUAUUUGGGUUCCUUCAUUAAUCAAUCUAGAGUAACUGAUGAGCCAAUGCGUGGAGUUUCUAUUAGCACUAAAGGCUAUGUUGACGACAAGACUGACUUUGGAUUUGCAGAAACCGUCUCAAGCUGAUUGGAUUCGUCAGUAUAUGGAGAGCAACAGCAAGAGGAAGAGGUACACAACAAAUUGGAGCAAAUGUAGCAAAAGGGUUCCAGAGUAAAUUAAAGGAGUAUAACAAAAAAAAAAUACAUGCUUUCUUUGUAUGCUUGAUCCUUUCUUAUCCCUGGGAAGUUCUAAUUUUUGUCCAUUACAUUUCUGGCUGUAAGACCUCAAGCAUGCUGUUUACCCCAUCAGAUGAUUCCGUAAGUUUACAGUUUGGACUUUGCAGUCGAAAUUAAUUCUGACAACCGAUAUUGGGCAAUCAGGUUGAUGUCUUGUCAAGUAUUCAUCUUAUACGCUAACACGCUUUUCAUUAAAUCCACAUGGGUUGACCAGGUUAUAUUAUAGUUUAUCUACUCGUUUUUUUGUUAUAGCUUCCAGCAUUUUGUCCAUCUUUUUGUCAAUUGUCUUUCCUUAUUUUGUACUGAACUUAGAGGAACAGAUAACUAUGAGGGAAACAGAUAGGGCUUUUAAGACAAUAACAAGUGAAGAAAUCAAGGACACAAAGAUAUAAGGUUUGGGAUCACCUGCUUCUUCUUGAGUAAUGGCAUGCUUUUGCAAUUGGUUAUAUUAUGCCUAUCUGAACUGCCACCGACAAGUCUUGUGAAGUAUUUAAGUGAAAAAUCCAAGCUAUAAUGAAGUUUUAGCCAUUUGCAUAUUGACUACAGUUUAAUUUCGUUUCCUUCGUGUGGCCAAAAUCUGUUGCAGAGAGAGUAUCCGAUGAGCGAUGUGAGCCAUCAUCACCAGGAUGACAGGAUCAUAUGGUUCCUUGGUUGGUUGCCAAGUUCAGCUUGAUAGUGCAAGGUGGACAACAACGCUUUAUGUCACUUGAACUUUUUCGAACUACUGCUUGAACCAGAUGUUCUUUUUGGUAAUAUUGGAAUUGGUGGUUCUGAGACAGAAUUGAACACUUAAUUAAUCAACUUUGGCAUCCUUCUCAGGAAACUCACAGGCGACAAACGCCAGUAUCACCCAUGUAAUAGUUGAUGAAGUACACAAGCGUUCUCCGUUGGGUGGUUUUCUACUCGCUUGGGAAUCGGAAGAACCUGCUUGAAUAACAAGCUGCUCAGUCCACCAAAUCCACACCCAGAUUAAAAGUAGCCCUCAUGUCUGCAACAGUUGAUUCAACUUUGUUCUCCAGAUACUUUGUAAACUUCCCCGUUAUUAAUGCAGAAGGUAGACCGCAUCCUGUGUUCACGUACUUCUCGAGGAUGUGUAUGAAAAUAUCACUUCUUGCCUUUCUUCAAUUUCUCCAGCUCCUAUGAAUAACAUGUCCACAGCUAAAGAAAAGAUCUCCUGUUGUAUGGUCCCUAAAGUUGGAUCCUUGGAUGUGCACCUUUGUUACAAUUAAACAGUGGAACCCUUAUUUGACCUUCUCUUUUUUAUUAGAUACUUCCACAUGAACAAUACAAAUUGAUUCAUUUGUGUUGGUAACUUCCCAGGGUUCUACAAUACAAAAUUGUCAAAUUGAUUCACAUGUGCUGGUAACUUCCCAGGGUUAUAUUAUACCAUUCUAUUAUCAGGUCUCCAAAUGUAGAUGUUAAAUACUCUAACUUGUGAAUUCUUUCUUUAUGUUGCUACAGAAAAUCCUGAGAACAACUAUAGGGGAAAAAAGAAUCUUGUACUAUUUGCUUGGAGGGAUGAUAAUCUUCUAAGUAUGCUAUUAACCUUCAUGUUUCAAGUUCUUAACAGACUUACCGCGAGAGAACUCAGAAUAAUCUAUUCAAAGCCUUGCUGUAAUCUUCGGUGACUUAAACUCCGAUUUUCAUGGCUAGAUGUAUCAAAUUCAUUUAACACUUGGUGCUUUGAACGCCGUCUUGACUACUGUUUGUGCAGAAAACUUUAAACAAAGAUGUUAUUGACAUUGACUAUGAUCUCCAGGAAGAUUUGGUUUUUCAUGUUGAUGACCUAUCCAAGUGCCGUACUAGUUUCCAUAGCUGUAAGUCCUACAGCUCUAAGUUACUUUGUCAGUGGAAUUAUUUCGUAGCUGUAACUGCUGAUUGCCUCGAAAAGACUGGCCUGAUAUCUAUAGAUGGUCGGUUAAACUUUUAGCACCAUUCAAGAUUGCUGUUCUGUCCUAGGAACUCUAGUCAACACUUCAUUCUGUCCUGGAGGAGCUGAUCAGAAAAUCAGAGGUGUAUAACAUUUCCUUGCAUUGCCGCCAACAGCAAUUUCAGAGCUCCACUCCCUUCCACUCCGCACACAUAUUGUUUUUAGAUUGCUUCCACAGUUUUUUUUUAAUUCACACGUACGUUAGCUAAGACUCCAGUUAUGUUUUUGCUGUAUUAUAUCACUAUUUGAACUCUUAACUCAUUUGUACAGUUGAUAAAAUUUUGUUAAAUG